CGCUAUGUCAAAUAAACAAAUCUCUAUUUAGAAGCACGUUUUUGAGUUGUUCCAUCGAUUACUUGCCCAUCUGUUUUUGGAGUCAAGUCUUUAAUUCAGAUAGAACCAAUUAUACCUAAUAAUUAAUUAGCGAUCGACACAAAUCAAGUCAAACAGCUAUCCAGGGUUAAAAUAAACGAAGACUAUGAAACGUGUGAAUCUCAAAUCAUCUCUAAAACCCAAUCCAACACACGUUUUAGAUUUUGUAGAAGCUGCUGUUCAGCAAUAAAUCCAGUUCCACCCACUUUAUAUACCUCUAGAAAACUAUAUCCACAUCAACACGUGUAAUACUCGGCACUGGAUUUACUUUCUUUUUUUUCUCUUGGUCGCCUCACCGUGUCACGACGGAGUGACGGGCAAAUGGAUCUUCAAAUCAUGCAGGCCGGUGAUGCGUAAGACUACCAGUACCAGGUACAUACUGAUUACUAACUUUCUGAAACACAAGAGUCACAGAGUCAACCCUAGCCAGACGUGCACGUCUAAUCAAGCAUUUUUUACACGAUCAAUCAUCUCAUGAUAUGCCACGUUCCCUUGUUCAGAUACUGGCUUGCACCGCUCCAUGCCAACUGGCAGCGAGAAGGGCUCUCCUGCCUCGGACAAACAAACCUAGGAACCCAGGAUUUGUUUAUGGCUCCUAAUCCAAACCCUGAAAGGAAUGCAUAGCAGCUGGAGCCAAAACAUUGGACACUGAUCCAACUAGGUUGGUUCAAAUGGCUAGUUAAGAUCUUUCUGGUCUCCCUGAAUCACAACAAGUCAUGGGCGUCACCUUAAAAUAAAGGGUGUAGAAAACAAAUGGAACACUGCUAUUUGGUGAAACGUGCGAGUUUGUUGUUAAGGAAACAUGGAUACUUUCAUGGACUUCGAUGGAUUAGGUCACCAAUGACAAAUUUUAUUCUCCUUAAUUUGGAGAGUCACACGUCUAGACUCUAGA
rnacentral:lncRNA from 1 species